rnacentral:tRNA from 1 species
GAGGGUAUAGCUCGAGUGGUAGAGCACAUGCCUAGCGUGCCUGAGUCCUGGGUUCAAUCCCCAGGACCUCCA